GUGGGGAAUAUUCCGCAAUGGACGAAAGUCUGACGGAGCAACGCCGCGUGAGUGAUGAAGGUUUUCGGACUGUAAAGCUCUGUUGUUUAGGACGAAAGUGCCUGUUGCAAAUAGUUACAGGUAUUGACGGUACUGAACGAGGAAGCCACGGCUAACUACGUGCCAGCAGCCGCGGUAAUACGUAGGUGGCAAGCGUUGUCCGGAAUUAUUGGGCGUAAAGAGCAUGUAGGCGGGAAUCUAAGUCUGUUGUGAAAAUGCGGGGCUCAACCCCGUAUUGCGAUGGAAACUGGGUUUCUUGAGUGCAGGGGAGGAAAGGGGAAUUCCCAGUGUAGCGGUGAAAUGCGUAGAUAUUGGGAGGAACACCAGUGGCGAAGGCGCCUUUCUGGACUGUGUCUGACGCUGAGAUGCGAAAGCCAGGGUAGCGAACGGGAUUAGAUACCCGUGUAGUCC
rnacentral:rRNA from 1 species